rnacentral:rRNA from 1 species
CCAAUAGCGUAUAUUAAAGUUGCUGCAGUUAAAAAGCUCGUAGUUGAAUUUCGGGAUCAAUAUGUUGGUCGUGCCUCGGUACGUACUAGCUUAUUGGUUUCUCCCUUCUGACGAACCAUGAUGUCAUUUAUUUGGUGUUAUGAGGAAUCAGGACUGUUACUUUGAAAAAAUUAGAGUGUUUAAAGCAGGCUCACGCUUGAAUACAUUAGCAUGGAAUAAUGAAAUAGGACGUUUGAUUCUAUUUUGUUGGUUUCUAGGAUCGACGUAAUGAUUAAUAGGGAUAGUUGGGGGCAUUAGUAUUCAAUUGUCAGAGGUGAAAUUCUUGGAUUUAUUGAAGACUAACUACUGCGAAAGCAUUUGCCAAGGAUGUUUUCAUUAAUCAAGAACGAAAGUUAGGGGAUCGAAGACGAUCAGAUACCGUCGUAGUCUUAACCAUAAACUAUGCCGACUAGGGAUCGGAUGAUGUUAAUUUUUAAUGACUCAUUCGGCGCCUUACG